UCCUGCUUUCCCGGCUGCCUGCUCUACAAACAGCAAUGACCAACUUCACUGCGGCACAUUCACUGUUCCUGCCCUUGCAGCACCCAUUGGGGUCGACGACUCGUUUCCAUGUUUUACAUCAGAGCCAUGAAGGCGGUACUUUCUUCCAACGCGAGCCCUGAAGUGAUGAAAAAUGUUCUGCGUUACAUUGGACAGCACAUACCUCUCACCUUUCCAGCAACAUGAACAAGCAGAUCUCCACUGCAUUGUCUACACUCGCUGUAUAAUCACACACACACACAUAUUGAUUUGCUUUGAGAUCACUGCAUUUGAUGUUUGUCCGAGAGCAUGCAUGAAAACAUCUUUAUUCUGCUAAUGCGCAUGCGUAGGAAACUGACUGGAUAGAUAUUCCCAUGGAAGAGAGAUCAAAGUGACAUUCUUUGAAUGAUAAACAAUUUAUCGGAAUUUGUCUAUUUGAGCUUUUUCCAAUAUUCUGCAUAGAUGCUUAAGAGAGCGCGGGAGAUUCAAUUAAUGCAAUCUCGGUUUUACCACGCCUUACACUGUUCUGGUUAUGGUCAGUAAUGUUUGUUCAUUCUCACCGUGUUUAAUGGAAAGAUCGAAAAACUUAAUAAAUACUUUGGAUGAU